rnacentral:rRNA from 1 species
GACGAACCGUGCGAACGUUGUCCGGAAUUAUUGGGCGUAAAGAGCUCGUAGGUGGUUUGUUGCGUCUGCCGUGAAAACCCGAGGCUUAACCUCGUGGCUUGCGGUGGAUACGGGCAGACUUGAGGUAGGUAGGGGAGAAUGGAAUUCCCGGUGUAGCGGUGAAAUGCGCAGAUAUCAGGAGGAACACCGAUGGCGAAGGCAGGUCUCUGGGCAUUAACUGACGCUGAGGAGCGAAAGCAUGGGGAGCGAACAGG